rnacentral:lncRNA from 1 species
UAAACCCUAAUGUAUUAGUUAAAAUUUUAAAAUAUUAAUUAAGAAACAAAUUUAAGGAACAAUAAAUAGAAAAACAUAGUCAACACGACUCAAUGUCUAUGGUGUGACAACAAUAAUUAAGUGAGGCUAUGACGGCGACCGUUGGACGUGGAUUGUGGCGACGGACUAAGAUGACAAGUUAGGUGGCGUUUGUUUUUUCGUCUGAAAUCUGAAUAGACCUGAAUUAGUGUGAAUUCUGAAUAGAUCUGAAUAUCUGAAUCUGAAUAAUAUGUUUAUUUUUUCGUCUGAAUCUAAAAAAAUAUGUAUUAAGUUGUUUGUUUUUUUCAACUUAAAAAGCUGAAAAUAUGUACUUUUACAUUUGUAUUCUUAUUAAAUUUGAAUGUCAAAUAAAUAAUACAUUAAAUACCAUAAUAUUUUAACAUUUAUAAGUAAAACUAUAUUCAAGUGAAUACAUAAUUAUUUUAGAAUUUUAAUAUAUAAAAUACCAUAAAUUUUAAAUUUUAUCGUAUAUAAUAUAAGAAAGAAAAAACAGGGAUAUUUUUAUGUAGGGUAAAUGUCUAUGGGUGAGUUUUGGGAUAGACAUGAAAAAUAAAUUAUAAAACAAUGAUAUUUUUGACAUUAGCAAGUAAUUGACUUAAUUCAGAUUUCUCCAUUAAGUAAAAAACCAAAAAAAUUGGCUUAUUUUAUUAAGUCAAAAUUAUCUAAAAAGUCUCAUUAAGUUAUAAAAACAAACACCUCUAAUUAACUUAAUUAAUUAAGUUAAGUCACUUUAAGUCAUUAAGUUAAAAAACAAACGCCACCUUAGCUGAGUUUCCAUCACUGCUGCGAACUAGAUUAGUCAGACAAUUGCUAGUGGUGGAGUUAAUGGUGUGUGAGUGAUGGCAAUGGAAAAUAGAAACAAUGUUGAUGUGUGAGAGCUGC